GAGGGUAUAGCUCAGUGGUAGAGUGCGUGCUUAGCCUCACAAGGUCCUGGGUUCAAUCCCCAGUACUUUCU
rnacentral:tRNA from 1 species